AAGCAGGGGAUCGUAAGACCUUGCGCUUUUGGAGCGGCCGAUGCCUGAUUAGCUAGUUGGUGGGGUAAGGGCCUACCAAGGCGACGAUCAGUAGUUGGUCUGAGAGGACGACCAGCCACACUGGGACUGAGACACGGCCCAGACUCCUACGGGAGGCAGCAGUGGGGAAUUUUGGACAAUGGGCGGAAGCCUGAUCCAGCAAUGCCGCGUGAGUGAAGAAGGCCUUCGGGUUGUAAAGCUCUUUCAGUCGAGAAGAAAAGGUUGCGACUAAUAAUCGCAACUUAUGACGGUAUCGACAGAAGAAGCACCGGCUAACUACGUGCCAGCAGCCGCGGUAAUACGUAGGGUGCAAGCGUUAAUCGGAAUUACUGGGCGUAAAGGGUGCGCAGGCGGCCUUGUAAGUCAGAUGUGAAAUCCCCGGGCUUAACCUGGGAACUGCGUUUGAAACUACAAGGCUAGAGU
rnacentral:rRNA from 1 species